AGAAAGGCCUAUGUGAAAGUGCCCAUUAGAAUAAUCUGACAACUGUGCUGGAGAUCCACUGGGGCCAAAGAGACCAUCUACUGCACUCCUGAGGCUUUUUUCAGAAGCUGGAUCUUUUAUUUCCAAGAGGUUACAAGCACACAGAGUGGGGUGGCUUUGCCCAGCAGCUCAGGCCAAUCCAGCUUGACAAUGGCAAUGGAAAUCUGGUUUGGUUUUGAGCCUGGCUUUGAUUUGGGGCACUGGAAACCAUGAGAGUGCCAAGAAAGCUUUGACUGCCUUGGAUGACAGCAAAUCUCAUACAUCCUGACCAGGGAAGUGCCUCCUUUCCAGCAGCUGCAGCUUUGCCCUGUGCCUGCUUCAUCUCCAUCUAUGCAGCUGAUGAAGGCAGAGAGGGCAGCAGCAGCAGAGGGCUUCCCUGGACUCCCUCCUCCGUGAAGAAGUGACAGGGUGCAGAGAGGGGGAUCACACCAAAGAAGCUUCCAGACCCAGGAAGUUAUUUUUUCCUCAUUCUUGAGAAGCAAAUAUCACAUGACCUGUGUGAUGGAAGAGCUCCUCUCAGCACGCGUGGAACAGCACGGAGAAGUGAAGAGUCGGCACAAAACCGUGUUGGCAGCUGACAUUUCACGAGCACACUGCCAUCAGCUCAGCUGAGAGAGCUGAGGAAACCCUGGAGCAGGGUGGCCCCUGUGCCUCCCCCAGCCUGGUGCCUCUGGGGGUGCAAGGUUUUAUCAUGUGAGCAAGACACAAAGCUGUGAACCAAGGUCACCCCUGCUCCACGCUGAAACUGGUGCCUUGUCCCCAACGUGGUUUUUGUUUGUACAGAAUUGAAGGAGGUGACACUUAAGGUAGGGGGUAAAAGCUAUUCCUGGUGCUCUGGAGAGGGUUUUUGACUACAUUUUGUCGUGGAAGCGUAGGUGUGCUUUUCCACCCACAGCCUGCCCUGCUCUAACUCUGUAAGGGUGACACAGGGAUGCCUGGACAAGCUCCUACCAUAGGGAGAAGGGGCACUGCUUACCCUGCCAGUGCACUAAUUUAAAUUACCUGGCU
rnacentral:lncRNA from 1 species